GAUGGGCUGCGGCUCGGCUGGCGCCUGCCUGCCGCCGCACGCCAGCGGGCCGCUCGGAGCCGCCGUCAUAAAACAAAAGCCUGUGUGUUGUACCUGCCCGCACCGCCGUAGGCAGCGAGAGAGCGCUAGUUGUGCUAAAAUGUGAGGGUUACCCCUCACGCACCAAAAAUGUGUUGCAUGAGGUAGAAAUCACUCAGCCGUGGUCAUCUGAUUGGAGGUGAAAGAAAUAUACGAGUUCUCAGUAACACUUUCUGUUAGGAGAAAAACAGCAGGAAAGAAGAUCAAGGGGAAUAAAGGAAAGAGAGGACCGUAGCUCGAAAAAAGGAAAUUGCUGUUCAGAAUUCCUCUGUCUCCAAUGCAGACAAUUUUCAGAAUGCGGCAUUCCAUAUGAGAGACACAUAUGAGUGCACACGCAUACCCUAAAGCAGAAUUGCAACAUUUACAUUUGUUUCCUGUCUUAAGCUCUGCUGGGGACUAAAAAUCAAUGAGAGUCUGCAUUGCACCCCAGAAGUGCCUGCUUUUCACUGAAACGGUGCCUGCUGACCCAUGGAAGGCCAGCUAAAAUGCCUGAACUCUGCUUCCCAGUUUUGCACAAGCAAGAAGGGAAAUACAGGGUAGAUCAUCUACAGCCACAGCAGCAGAGAUUUAGCUACUUGAGUGACAGGAUGAUGCCCCCAGAAUACCUGUUAAAAUAGUAAUAAACAUCCAUGUAUAAAGUGGGAAACACCCAAGGAAGAAAAUCCAAGGCUUCUGGAAGAUUUUAAUACUUGAAAAUAUGAUAUGGCCUAUGGUGUUAUUAUCCAAAUGGGGUUAAAUAUCUAAAACCAAAAAAUAUGAAACAAAGUCCUCAGAAUUCUUGCAUGCUGUCUGGCCCCAAAAUUGCAUUUCCUCUUAUAGGCAAUGUUUUUUGUGGGUGUAACUUGAUUACAGGCUGAGAGAUAGAGAUCUCCACUCAACACCACUACAUGGUGUGCAAGCAAGUGCAAGACCAUCACAGACUCAGAGUGAAAAGAAGAAACUGUACAUGCUUCUGCUAGCUCCUUGUAGUUUAAUUAGUUUCUAAACAUUCUAAAUGAAAAUUUCUAAUACUUUUAUAUAAACAAAGAGUUGCAAUUCACAGAGCAGAGGUGUGUAGCUAAAGGAUACUAGCUAUUGGUAAUGGUUGUGGUUUUCUUCAAAAUGCAGUAAUUUUGCCUCUCUCAGCUUCACCUCUUCCUGGAAAAUGGGAAAAGUUAAAUUUGGAAUUGAACCAAAUCCACUUCUGGAAUAAGCAGAGGUAAUUCCCACAGAAACCUGACAAGAGCAACACCUACUCAUGUCAGACAUAAUUUUCAAAUCAAGCUUAUGAUUAUGGUCCAGAAGGUCCUGACAAUCAUGGCCAAGCUCCAUCAUCAUCCUCCAGAAGUCAAAAUGAAAUACUGCAUAAGGAAGAUGAAUUCCUGAUAUGGUUCAGAAGUAGCAGAUCAGAUCUCAGCUGCAUAUACACAAAGGGAUGCACAGAUAAAUCCUUUUCAGGCAAAAAUCCAUCCAUCUGCAUGUAUCAGGCUGUUGCAAGCCCACAUAAGGGUUUCUGGACAAACAAUACUGAAGGACUUACUUGAGGAUCUCAAAGCUCUUUGCAGAGUAGAAAGUGAGCUAAGCUGUACUUUUGUGACUGCACCACAAUCCAGGUCCCUCAAUCACUGGCUUUCUGUGUAUACCUGCAGGUACCUAUAAGCCUGCCGGUGAUAAAAGGAUGGAUCAAACUAAUAAUAGGAUAUAUAUGAGAGACUGAACCCGCUCUUCUUAGAGCUGGACCAUAAACAAAACUACUGCAGUCCAAGUAAUAAGCUUCCAUUCUAAUGAAAGUUUAGUUGCUGCCAGUUUCUGUAGCAGUUUCCAAAAUACCCCAACACCGACCAUCACCAUCAAUUAAAUUCAGUGCAAACAGCCUAUGCUUCAGGCAUUGCCCUAGGUCUGUGCAGCUAUAAAUCAUCUGUCCACAACAGCAAGAGAGACAAUCAGCAAAGAACAGAAACAAAGGAUCUCUCCUGCCAGGGUCACUGCAGUGCCUGAGAAACACUGGAAACUCAAGCCAAGGCAUCUGCAAGCCCUUGUGCAUCCUGCUUUCCAGGCUUGUUUCUUUUCUGAAUUUAUAUGCAGGAUGAAACAAAUCCCUCCCCAAGCUACCAGUUCUUCCUAGAGACCACAAAUGCCUAAAUGCUCUAGAAAACAUAUCCAAGUGAUAACAAGAUCCAAUUACAGUGAGGAUAUUAAAAGAGCCAUGUGACUUCUUACCAGCAGAUAGAAAAAUAACCUUUUCUUACCUCCAUACAUCUGAGACAGGAUA